rnacentral:rRNA from 1 species
GGGCCCGCACAAGCGGUGGAGCAUGUGGUUUAAUUCGAUGAUACGCGAGGAACCUUACCAGGGCUUAAAUGCAGAAUGACAGAUUGGGAAACCAGUCCUUCUUCGGACAUUUUGCAAGGUGCUGCAUGGUUGUCGUCAGCUCGUGCCGUGAGGUGUCAGUUAAGUCCUAUAACGAGCGCAACCCCUAUCAUUAGUUGCCAGCGGGUAAUGCCGGGAAACUCUAAUGCAGACUGCCAGCGCAAGCUGCGAGGAAGGUGGGGAUGACGUCAAAUCAUCACGGCCCUUACCGUGCCUGGGCUACACACGUGCUACAAUGGUUGGGACAAUGGGCAGCCACUACGCGAGUAGGAG